rnacentral:rRNA from 1 species
UACGAAGGGGGCUAGCGUUGCUCGGAAUUACUGGGCGUAAAGGGCGCGUAGGCGGACAGUUUAGUCAAAGGUGAAAUCCCUCGGCUCAACUGAGGAACUGCCUUUGAAACUGCCUGGCUUGAGGCCGGGAGGGGGUAGCGGAAUUCCCAGUGUAGCGGUGAAAUGCGUAGAUAUUGGGAGGAACACCAGUGGCGAAGGCGGCUACCUGGACCGGUUCUGACGCUGAUGCGCGAAAGCGUGGGUAGCAAACAGG